AGGGUUUGAUCAUGGGCUCAGAUUGAACGCUGGCGGCAUGCCUAACACAUGCAAGUCGAACGGUAACAGACCGCUGUGAUCCCUUCGGGGUGAACUUGGUGCUGACGAGUGGCGGACGGGUGAGUAAUACUUAGGAAUCUACCCAGUAGUGGGGGACAACCCGGGGAAACCCGGGCUAAUACCGCAUACGCCCUACGGGGGAAAGCGGAGGAUCUUCGGACUUCGCGCUAUUGGAUGAGCCUACGUCGGAUUAGCUUGUUGGUGAGGUAAAGGCUCACCAAGGCGACGAUCCGUAGCUGGUUCGAGAGGACGACCAGCCACACUGGGACUGAGACACGGCCCAGACUCCUACGGGAGGCAGCAGUGGGGAAUAUUGGACAAUGGGCGCAAGCCUGAUCCAGCAAUGCCGCGUGUGUGAAGAAGGCCUGCGGGUUGUAAAGCACUUUCAGCAGGGAAGAUGGGGAGAGCAGUUAAUACCUGCUUUUCUUGACGUCACCUGAAGAAGAAGCACCGGCUAAUUCCGUGCCAACAGCCGCGGUAAUACGGNAAGGCGCGAGCGUUUAAUCGGAAUUACUGGGCGUAAAGAGUACGUAGGCGGCUUGGUAUGUCGGAUGUAAAAGCCCCGGGCUCAACCUGGGAAUGUCAUUCGAAACUGCCAGACU
rnacentral:rRNA from 1 species